CCCUCAAACAAAAAGUCCAGGUUUGCAAAAUAUCUAGCUAUUUUCUGAGCUAACUAUAUCCAAAUGAAUAUUUUAACUAAAGUGAUGUGCUACCUACAAACUCAAGAAUUGCCAUAAUGCCAUUAAUGGACAAUACUCAAACAACAAAUAAUAUUGAUCAUAAUCAUGUUGCUACUAAAAAGAAAAUACCAACAUCAAUAGCUGCUAUAUUCUAUGGAGCCAAUCUCAUGGAGGAGAGAUACUGCUUAUAAGCUUGAACCUCUGGCAUUGGUUCCCAUUAAAGCCAAACACAAUUGCUAGCACUUUGUUUCACUGGGUGCUUAUAUGGGCUUCUUAAAGAUUCUCCAGCAGGAACUUCCAUCUGAACUUCCUCUCACUUAGCUUCCUGAACUCUCCUCACAGUCCUGGGGUUCUAUCAUUCCUCCCCUCUGUUGGGGUCCCAAGGAUCUUCCAGUCAGUCAAAUUGGACAGCUGACCUCAGACUAGCUCCCUUCCAUGGUGGAAAUGCAGUUUGCUCCCAUGUUGCCCUUAGUGCAAUCUCGUCUUAGCUUAUAGCUUUUAGACUUUCCGAGCCUGAUUAAUAAAACUUAAGUUUACCAAACUCCAAGGCGUUGUGUACAACACACCAAAUGUCUUCUUAAAAUUCUCUUCAUUGGCUUAAGGUGAGAUAGAAGAACACCCUACCCCACUGGAUGAGAUGAAUAACAAAUAAAACAUAGGAGCAACACUUUU